rnacentral:rRNA from 1 species
AUGGGAUGGGGUCGCGUCCUAUCAGGUAGUCGGCGGGGUAACGGCCCAACGAGACUACGACGGGUAGCCGGCCUGAGAGGGCGACCGGCCACAUUGGGACUGAGAUACGGCCCAGACUCCUACGGGAGGCAGCAGUGGGGAAUAUUGCACAAUGGGCGCAAGCCUGAUGCAGCGACGCCGCGUGCGGGAUGACGGCCUUCGGGUUGUAAACCGCUUUUGAUCGGGAGCAAGCCUUCGGGUGAGUGUACCUUUCGAAUAAGCACCGGCUAACUACGUGCCAGCAGCCGCGGUAAUACGUAGGGUGCAAGCGUUAUCCGGAAUUAUUGGGCGUAAAGGGCUCGUAGGCGGUUCGUCGCGUCCGGUGUGAAAGUCCAUCGCUUAACGGUGGAUCUGCGCCGGGUACGGGCGGGCUGGAGUGCGGUAGGGGAGACUGGAAUUCCCGGUGUAACGGUGGAAUGUGUAGAUAUCGGGAAGAACACCAAUGGCGAAGGCAGGUCUCUGGGCCGUUACUGACGCUGAGGAGCGAAAGCGUGGGGAGCGAACAGGAUUAGAUACCCUGGUAGUCCACGCCGUAAACGGUGGAUGCUGGAUGUGGGGCCCGUUCCACGGGUUCCGUGUCGGAGCUAACGCGUUAAGCAUCCCGCCUGGGGAGUACGGCCGCAAGGCUAAAACUGCGGAUUAAUUCGAUGCAACGCGAAGAACCUUACCUGGGCUUGACAUGUUCCCGACAGCCGUAGAGAUAUGGCCUCCCUUCGGGGCGGGUUCACAGGUGGUGCAUGGUCGUCGUCAGCUCGUGUCGUGAGAUGUUGGGUUAAGUCCCGCAACGAGCGCAACCCUCGCCCUGUGUUGCCAGCACGUCAUGGUGGGAACUCACGGGGGACCGCCGGGGUCAACUCGGAGGAAGGUGGGGAUGACGUCAAAUCAUCAUGCCCCUUACGUCCAGGGCUUCACGCAUGCUACAAUGGCCGGUACAACGGGAUGCGACACGGCGACGUGGAGCGGAUCCCUGAAAACCGGUCUCAGUUCGGAUUGGAGUCUGCAACCCGACUCCAUGAAGGCGGAGUCGCUAGUAAUCGCGGAUCAGCAACGCCGCGGUGAAUGCGUUCCCGGGCCUUGUACACACCGCCCGUCAAGUCAUGAAAGUGGGUAGCACCCGAAGCCGGUGGCCUAACCCUUUGUGGAUGGAGCCGUCUAAGGUGAGACUCGUGAUUGGGACUAAGUCGUAACAAGGUAGCCGUACCGGAAGGUGCGGCUG